UACGUAGGGGGCAAGCGUUGUCCGGAUUUAUUGGGCGUAAAGAGCGUGUAGGCGGCCAUGUAGGUCCGUUGUGAAAACUCGAGGCUCAACCUCGAGACGCCGAUGGAAACCAUGUGGCUAGAGUCCGGAAGAGGAGAGUGGAAUUCCUGGUGUAGCGGUGAAAUGCGCAGAUAUCAGGAGGAACACCGGUGGCGAAGGCGGUGGUCUGGGCCGGCACUGACGCUGAGGAGCGAAAGCGUGGGGAGCAAACAGG
rnacentral:rRNA from 1 species